rnacentral:rRNA from 1 species
AACGAACGCUGGCGGUAUGCUUAACACAUGCAAGUCGAACGAUGAGAAAGAGCUUGCUCUUUCGAUUAGUGGCGGACGGGUGCGUAACGCGUAGGAAUCUACCUAUUAGUGGGGGACAACUUAGGGAAACUUAAGCUAAUACCGCAUACGCCCUACGGGGGAAGGAAGGGGAUCGCAAGACCUUUUGCUAAUAGAUGAGCCUGCGUAGGAUAAGCUAGUUGGUGGGGUAAAAGCUCACCAAGGCGACGAUCCUUAACUGGUUUGAGAGGAUGAUCAGUCACACUGGAACUGAGACACGGUCCAGACUCCUACGGGAGGCAGCAGUGGGGAAUAUUGGACAAUGGGCGAAAGCCUGAUCCAGCAAUACCGCGUGUGUGAAGAAGGCCUUAGGGUUGUAAAGCACUUUCAAUUGGAAGGAAAACCUCGAAGCUAAUACCUUCGAGUUUGACAUUACCUUUAGAAGAAGCACCGGCUAACUCCGUGCCAGCCGCCGCCGUAA